rnacentral:rRNA from 1 species
AUACAGAGGGUGCAAGCGUUAAUCGGAUUUACUGGGCGUAAAGCGUGCGUAGGUGGUCUUUUUAAGUCGGAUGUGAAAUCCCUGAGCUUAACUUAGGAAUUGCGUUCGAUACUGGGAGACUAGAGUAUGGGAGAGGAUGGUAGAAUUCCAGGUGUAGCGGUGAAAUGCGUAGAGAUCUGGAGGAAUACCGAUGGCGAAGGCAGCCAUCUGGCCUAAUACUGACACUGAGGUACGAAAGCAUGGGGAGC